CCUAGAAGAAACUUAGCAAGAGGAUGAAGAAAGACCGGAGAUACACCAGAACAACGUAUGCUCAAGAGAGGAGCCGUCUGUUGUUCCGAAGUUUUUUGUUUCUAAAAAAAUCGGACGUAAUUUAGCCACUGUUGUUGCCCGUCGCUCUAACAUUACUUGGUUGCGCUAACUUUACUCGACCGUGCUAACGUUAAAGACAUGUCACUUCAAGCAUGCAGCGGAGCAACAUUAUGAACGCAAUAACAAUCCACCUACGAUCCCGCUACAGACCGUUGAGAAAGACGGGUUCAGAGCAAUGAUUAAAACACUGGAUUUAAGAUGUCUUGCCUCGCUGAAAUAUGUCCGCCAACCUGCUAACAUUAUUCAAACAGCGAAGGAGGCUGACAGCGGAGCUACGUUCAGUCGCCCACUACAACCUAACUUACCUGUGGCCAAGGUAGUGUUUAUACAACUAUCUUACAACUAUUUUGUUUUGAAAGGGAAACAAUGUUAAAGUUGUUUGUAUGUGUAUUCAUUCGAUUUAAGUUUAUUUUACUACUUUGCAGUUUGCACAAUAAAACUAGUUUAGAUUCUGGUAGUGUUUCAUGCAUUCUCCUUCAUAUAACGUUAGUGUAUAAUGUUGAUGAGCCAAGCAAACCCUUUAGUAAUCAAAGCUUUUAGUAAACAUGAUGACAUUAAAAUGUUUUUUGUGAUAUUCUAUGUACU